GCCUUCGUGAUGUAGUGGUCAGCACACUCGACGCGUAUUCGAGAGGUCCAUGGUUCGAGUCACGUCGAGGGCA
rnacentral:tRNA from 1 species